AUUGAACGCUGGCGGCAGGCCUAACACAUGCAAGUCGAACGAGUGGCGGACGGGUGAGUCAUGUCUGGGAAAUGGCCCGAUGGAGGGGGAUAACUACUGGAAACGGUAGCUAAUACCGCAUACCAUCGGAUGUGCACAGAUGGGAUUAGUUAGUAGGUGGGGUAACGGCUCACCUGGGCGAAGACCACUAGCUGGUCUGGGAGGAUGACCAGCCACCUUGGAACGGAGAAACGGUCCAGACUCCUACGGGAGGCAGCAGUGGGGAAUAUUGCACAAUGGGGGCAAGCCGGAUGCAGCCAUGCCGCGUGUGUGAAGAAGGCCUUCGUGUUGUAAAGUACUUUCAGCGAGGAGGCGUUACUCACAGAAGAAGCACCGGCUAACUCCGUGCCAGCCGCCGCGGUAAUAC
rnacentral:rRNA from 1 species